UUGAAAGGGAAACGAUUGAAGUCAGUCAUGCCGGUGGGAAUCAACUUAGAGGAAACUCUGGGUGCACUUCUUCGUUUGGCAGGUCAGUGUCGAUUUUGAAUGUCAUAAAAUAAUGGGGGAAGGACUUCUUCGGGAGUGUUAUAGCCCUUGAGAUGUGAUGUUUGGGGUCGAGGAUUGCAACGGAUACCUUGGGGCUAACCGCCUGAUCUCUAAUUAGUGUUGGGUUACGGACAGCAUGCUAACCGUGUCUAAUUACUGGUUAAAAGGUUAGAGCGUGUAUAAAUUCGUUAAGGAUGUUGACGUA
rnacentral:rRNA from 1 species